rnacentral:rRNA from 1 species
CCACUUUUGUACAGUUGGACCUCAGAUCAGGCGAGGCUACCUGCUGAACUU